rnacentral:lncRNA from 1 species
GCGGGAAAAAAGUUUACACAUGUAAUUAACGUUAAAUAUCAAAGAACCAAUUUCUUUGCAGAUAUAGCAGGCUUUAUAAGCAAUGAAUGACUAGAGAAAUUAAGAUUGGCAAUGGAGAAAAAUAAUGAUAUAGAGAUCCAGAAAAUCAGAGACGAAAAUAUGAAAGAAAUCAAUCACUAUCACGAACAGCUUAUCGCAAGCACUUCUACCAACAGAUCUUGAUUCUGUAAUGGCUAA